UCCCACUGAUUAGCAUAACCAACGAGGCGGAAGUUUGUUUAGUCUGAAAUAAUCAGACACAGAUCUCAAGAGCAAUUGUUGAUAUCGUUGCUACGGUAACUGCAGCUGGCGUUUACUGACGAGUGGAAUGACUGAAGGUUGCAUAUACCUCUAUUGCUUACCCAUUUUUAUGAAAACAUUGUUUUUAAUUGUUUAUUUCAUGGGCGAACUUGUUGAGAUUCGCAGACAGCAGAUGAGGAAUAAAUUGCUGAUCGGCGGCCCUUGUACGGAGGUUGUCACACACAGCCAACGAAACCACAUGGGCAACAUGGAAGAGGAAAAAUCAGGCAUACUGCAUAUCGGCAGUUGGUGAGAUGGCGUGGGAGUUCGUAGGCUAUGUUUGGGUUCCACUGCAAUCCUGUGCCGUCACAAAGAUCUGGCAGAUCUUUAAAUCCACACAUCGUACAGGUUUCCAGGAUGUGAUUUAUUUGUGGCAAAUAAAAGACAGUACACCUGAAUCA